rnacentral:rRNA from 1 species
GAUGAACGCUGACAGAAUGCUUAACACAUGCAAGUCUACUGUUUCGGACGGGUGAGUCACGCGUAAAGAACUUGCCUCACAGCUAGCGCCAACAUUUGGAACCGCCUGCUAAUACCUUAUCCUGUGAGCGAGCUUUGCGUCCCAUUAGCUAGUUGGAGAGGUAACGGCUCACCAAGGCGAGGAUGGGUAGCCCGCCUGAGAGGGUGAUCGGCCACACGGUGAUUGAGAAGCGGCCCUUAGUGCUACGGGAGGCAGGAGUGGGGAAUAUUGGAAGAUGUACCAAUGUCUGAUGAAGCAAUUCUUUUUGCACAAUGAAUUUUUCGGAAUGUAAAGUGCUGUCAGUUGGGAAGCGGUACCAACAGAAGAAGUGACGGCUAAAUACGUGCCAGCAGCCGCGGUAAUAC